rnacentral:rRNA from 1 species
AUGCUUAACUGCAAGCCCGCCGCCACGCCUGUUGAUACGAAGGCCAAGCUCUCCGCCACAGAUGGUUCCCCUGCUUCGGAUGCUGCUUUCUAUCGGUCUAUUGUUGGUGCUCUCCAGUACCUCACUUUGACUCGGCCAGAGAUCCAGUAUGCAGUACAGCAGGUGUGUCUUCAUAUGCAUGCUUCUCGGGAUGUUCACUGGGCCGCUGUCAAGCGGAUUCUCCGCUAUGUUUGUGGCACUAUGGAUCUUGGAGUCACGCUUCACGCAUCCGCCGACACCGCCCUCACAGCCUACUCCGAUGCAGACUGGGCGGGCUGCCCUGACACACGUCGCUCCACCUCGGGCUAUUGUGUCUACCUUGGACCCUCCCUUAUCUCGUGGUCGUCCAAGCGGCAGCCUACGGUCUCUCGCUCCAGUGCUGAGGCUGAGUAUCGUGCGGUGGCCAACGCCGUUGCUGAGUGUUCCUGGCUUCGUCAGCUGCUUCAGGAGCUGUCUUGCCUUGUUGACCGUGCCACGGUGGUCUACUGCGACAACGUCUCGGCGGUCUACCUCUCCGCUAACCCGGUGCAUCAUCGACGGACCAAGCAUAUUGAGUUGGAUAUUCAUUUUGUUCGGGAACAGGUGGCUCUUGGCCAUAUUCGUGUUUUACACGUUCCUACUUCCCAACAAUUUGCAGAUAUCAUGACCAAGGGCUUGCCUACGGCGUCAUUUGAGGAGUUCCGGUCCAGUCUUUGCGUCAGCCGCGGUGCCGCUUCGACUGCGGGGGGGGGGGGUGUUGAGUAG